rnacentral:rRNA from 1 species
CUAAAACGUCCGUAGCCUGUUUGGUAAAUCUGUGGGUAAAUCAACCAGCUUAACUGGUUGAAUUCUGCAGAGACUGCCAGACUAGGGACCGGGAGAGGUGUGGGGUACUCUAGGGGUAGGGGUAAAAUCCUGUCAUCCUUAGAGGACCACCAGUUGCGAAGGCGCCACACUGGAACGGAUCCGACGGUCAGGGACGAAGCCUAGGGGCACGAACCGGAUUAGAUACCCGGGUAGUCCUAGGUGUAAACGCUGUGAACUUGGUGUCGGGGAUCCGUAAUGGGUUCUCGGUGCCGGAGUGAAGAUGUUAAGUUCACUGCCUGGGGAGUACGGUCGCAAGGCUGAAACUUAAAGGAAUUGGCGGGGGAGCACUGCGACGGGAGGAGCGUGCGGUUUAAUUGGAUUCAACGCCGGAAAACUCACCAAGGCCGACUGUUAGAUGAAGAUCAGCGUAAUGAGCUUAUCGGAUUUUCAGAGAGGUGGUGCAUGGCCGUCGUCAGUUCGUACUGUAAAGCGUUCUGUUAAGUCAGAUAACGAACGAGACCCUCAUCUCUAUUUGCUACCCUGUUCUCCGGAAUAGGCGCACUAUAGAGAGACCGCUGGUGUGAAACCAGAGGAAGGCGAGGGCAACGACAGGUCAGUAUGCCCCGAAUGUCUUGGGCUACACGCGCGCUACAAAGGACAGGACAAUGGGAUGCUAGGCCGAGAGGCAUUCACGCUAACCCGAAACCUGUUCAUAGUUCGGAUUGAGGGCUGUAACUCGCCCUCAUGAAGCUGGAUUCCGUAGUAAUCGUGUUUCAAUAUAGCACGGUGAAUAUGCCCCUGCUCCUUGCACACACCGCCCGUCAAACCAUCUUAGUUGGGGGUGGGUGAGGCUGCGCUUUAUGGCGUAUUCGAGCCUGCCUUCGACAAGGAGGGUUAAGUCGUAACAAGGUAUCUGUAGGGGAACCUGCAGAUG